UACGUAGGGUGCAAGCGUUGUCCGGAAUUAUUGGGCGUAAAGAGCUCGUAGGCGGUCUGUCGCGUCUGCUGUGAAAUCUCAGGGCUUAACCCUGAGCUUGCAGUGGGUACGGGCAGACUUGAGUACGGUAGGGGAGCGGGGAAUUCCUAGUGUAGCGGUGAAAUGCGCAGAUAUUAGGAGGAACACCGGUGGCGAAGGCGCCGCUCUGGGCCGAAACUGACGCUGAGGAGCGAAAGCAUGGGUAGCAAACAGG
rnacentral:rRNA from 1 species